rnacentral:lncRNA from 1 species
UUCAUGCAUACAAGGAUCACACGCCCGGGUGAACAGGCCGUGUGCCUCACAUGGCCACCAGACACGCCCGUGUCAUAGGCCAUGUGGAAACAGGGCGUACAUACUAACUUGCAUCACACGGCCGGAGACACGUCCGUGUGCCAUGACCGUGUGAAAACUAGAGGGUAUUUUGACUUGGGUCACACGGCCGACCACACGCCCAUG